AAUUGAGACCAUAGUAGAGGCCGGGAUGGUCAACUUUGAGCAAUUGUGAAACUUCAAAGGUCAACCGGAAGAAGGGGCGUUGGACCCAGGAGGAGUACCAGAACCUAUUCAAUCUCGCGAACACGGACUUGCAGAUGAAAGCUAUGGAACCGAAGGUCUCGAAGCACGGGAUGCUGAGAGAUAAUAUCUGCUGGGAGGGUAUAAGCCAGAAGUUGUCCACCCGAGCGUAUUUCUGUUGCUGCCAUAAAUGGUACAGACAAUUGGCUUCAACUAUGGUGGCUGAAGGAAAAUGGGCAGAUUCAGAUGACUAUCGGCUCCUCAAUGGGCGUAUUGGGAUUGUCUUGUCAAGAACAGGUUAGGGGAAGUGUGCCGGAAACGCUGGCCCAGAUGGUCAGGCACAUUGGGGUGCACGGGACGAAAUCCUUUGUUGAACUGGUGGAGAUCCUUUCAAAGCGGUACUGCCCCAGCCUUCUAAAACUGUUGCUAAUUUGGUUCCGGCAGUAAUCAAGGUUUGGCUCUUUCACGUUGUUGUAUAAUGAAGUUAAUUUGUUCACGCAGUUUUAGUUGUCCCCGUAAUAUAUUCUCUGUUGCUCUUGUGAUCAAUUUGGAGAUCGUUGAUAUUUUGACA